rnacentral:rRNA from 1 species
UACAGAGGGUGCGAGCGUUAAUCGGAAUUACUGGGCGUAAAGCGUGCGUAGACGGUUAUUUAAGUCGGGUGUGAAAGCCCCGGGCUCAACCUGGGAAUUGCAUUCGAGACUGAAUAGCUAGGGUACGGUAGAGGGAAGUGGAAUUUCCGGUGUGGCGGUGAAAUGCGUAGAUAUCGGAAGGAACAUCAGUGGCGAAAGCGGCUUCCUGGACCAGUACCGACGUUCAGGCACGAAAGCGUGGGGAGCAAACAGG